UAGGACCUGAAUCAAGACCAGUAGACUGCUGUAUCUGAUGGUUUCAGACAGGAGCUGAGAGCAGUGUCUUCCUGUGGUCUGCUGGCUUUAGCACCCCAGUGGGAAUGGCUAGCUCGGGUAGAGGAAACAGUC
ensembl:snoRNA